rnacentral:rRNA from 1 species
AGAGUUUGAUUCUGGCUCAGAACGAACGCUUGCAGCGUGGAUUAGGCAUGCAAGUCGAACGGGAAGCCCCGUUUUCAAUCUUCGGAGAGAAUUUGGGGUGGAGAGUGGCGAAAGGGUGAGUAACGCGUGGGCAAUCUACCCCCAAGUUGGGGAUAACCAGCCGAAAGGCUGGCUAAUACCGAAUGUGGUUCUUUGACGAUGGUCAGAGUAACUAAAGGCAGGGAUCCUUCGGGACCUGUCGCUUGAGGAGGAGCCCGCGUCCCAUCAGCUUGUUGGUAGGGUAACGGCCUACCAAGGCUUACGUAGCUGGUCUGAGAGGAUGGUCAGCCACACUGGGACUGAGACACUGCCCAGACUCCUACGGGAGGCUGCAGUCGAGGAUCAUUCGCAAUGCGCGAAAGCGUGACGAUGCGACGCUGCGUGGAGGAUGACGGCCCUAGGGUUGUAAACUCCUGUCAUCCGGGAAAAAUGGUCCCGGCUUUAAUAGAGUCGGGAACUGAUGGUACCGGAAGAGGAAGCCACGGCUAACUCUGUGCCAGCAGCCGCGGUAAUACAGAGGUGGCGAGCGUUGUUCGGAUUUACUGGGCGUAAAGGGUGCGUAGGUGGUUCCGUAUGUCGAAUGUGAAAGCCCGCCGCUCAACGGCGGAAUUGCAUUCGAAACUGCGGUGCUAGAGUCCAAGAGGGGAGAGCGGAAUUCUUGGUGUAGCGGUGAAAUGCGUUGAUAUCAAGAAGAACACCGGCGGCGAAGGCGGCUCUCUGGAAUGGAACUGACACUGAGGCACGAAAGCUGGGGGAGCAAACAGGAUUAGAUACCCUGGUAGUCCCAGCCGUAAACGGUGUGCACUUGGUGUGGGGGGCGUCAAACCCUCCCGUGCCGGAGCUAACGCGUUAAGUGCACCGCCUGGGGAGUACGGCCGCAAGGCUAAAACUCAAAGAAAUUGACGGGGGCCCGCACAAGCGGAGGAGCAUGUGGCUUAAUUCGAUGCAACGCGAAGAACCUUACCAGGGCUUGACAUGGCGACCCUUCGGGGGUGGGAGUGAAAGUUCCCUUUGCGAUCACAGGUGCUGCAUGGCUGUCGUCAGUUCGUGCCGUGAGGUGUUUGGUUAAGUCCAGCAACGAACGCAACCCUUGUGCUUAGUUGCCACUCCUGGUGUUGAGCCGGGAAGCACUCUAGGCAGACUGCCCGUACAAGCGGGAGGAAGGUGGGGACGACGUCAAGUCAGUAUGGCCCUUACGCCCUGGGCUGCACACGUGCUACAAUGGUUGGUACAGAAGGAUGCAAUACCGCGAGGUGGAGCCAAUCCUCAAAACCAACCUCAGUUCGGAUUGGAGUCUGCAACUCGACUCCAUGAAGUCGGAUUCGCUAGUAACGGCGUAUCAGCUACGACGCCGUGAAUAUGUUCCCGGGCCUUGUACACACCGCCCGUCACAUCAUGAAAGCCGUCUGCACCCGAAGUCGCUGAGCCAACCCUAACGGGAGGCAGGUGCCGAAGGUGUGGGUGGUGAUUGG